UCCCUUGCUUAUACUUCCCUUCCUCUGCCUCCACUGACUCCUCCUGAUUGGAGCAGAAGGAUGAGGGAUCACACAGAGGCAACCCUCCAGAAUUCUGAUGUCCUGCAGAUGUCUACUCCAUUGUCUAAACUCAACCUGAUCCAGAAGCUUAUUGAAUAUGGUUCAUAGGUCAAUCUUUCAGAGCAUCAAGAAUAGUAGAGAGGAUGAAGCUAUAACCAGAGGACAGAGACAUCCAGCUCCA
rnacentral:lncRNA from 1 species